rnacentral:lncRNA from 1 species
GAGGAGUCUGGGGAUCCUAUGGAAGUCUGGAUGGCGUUGUUGAAGUCCGGCUGACGCUAUUGAAGAUUAAUGGCUGGGGAGGUUCAGCAGACACCGAAGACGAUUGGCUGUUGUAGAAAUCCAGCUGCUGGAGCCCGUCUGUUAUAGAAGCUCGUCCGGAAUCCAUCCGCUAUGGAAGUUUGGACGGAGUCCGAUUCUUGCACGGAGUCCGAUUAUUGU